AUAGCUAGCAAGAUUGACAAACUUCUAUAUGAUAUUUGUUGUAAUUAGCAGCGAGUGUAAUAAGAGUUUUAGCAUGCAGGUGGCAGAGCAGGAUUCCUCUGGACAGUGACUAUGCAGUACUGGUUCUCUGAUCAGUGUUGACAACUACAUAGGUACAGACACUACAUGAGAAGGAGAGCGACAGUAACAGAGAGGGAGCUGUGCUGUAUGUCCGAGUACAUACAGUUGAAGUCGGAAGUUUACAUACACCUUAGCCAAAUACAUUUAAACUCAGUUUUUCAACAUUUCUGACAUUUAAUCCUAGUAAAAAUGCCCUGUCUUAGGUCAGUUAGGAUCACCACUUGAUUUUAAGAAUGUGAAAUGUCAGAAUAAUAGUUGAGAGAAUUACUUAUUUCAGAUUUGAUUUCUUUCAUCACAUUCCAAGUGGGUCAGAAGUUUACAUACACUCAAUUAGUAUUUGGUAGCACUGCAUUUAUAUUAUUUAACUUGGGUCAAAUGUUUCAGGUAGCCUUCUACAAGCUUCCCACAAUAAGAUGGGUGAAUUUUGUCCCAUUCCUCCUGACAGAGCUGGUGUAACUGAGUCAGGUUUGUAGGGCUCCUUGCUCGCACAUGCUUUUUCAGUUCUUCCCACACAUUUUCUAUAGGAUUGAGGUCAGGGCUUUGUGAUGGCCACUCCAAUACCUUGACUUUGUUGUCCUUAAGCCAUUUUGCCACAACUUUGGAAGUAUGCUUGGGGGUCAUUGUCCAUUUGGAAGACCCAUUUGCGACCAAGCUUUAACUUCCUGACUGAUGUCUUGAGAUGUUGCUUCAAUAUAUCCACAUAACUGUCUUUUCUCAUGAUGCCAUCUAUUUUGUGACAUGCACCAUUCCCUCUUGCAGCAAAGCACCCCUACAACAUGAUGCUGCCACCCCAGUGCUUCACGUUGGGGAUGGUGUUCUUUGGCUUGCAAGCCUCCCCCUUUUUCCUUCAAACAUAACGAUGGUCAUCAUGGCCAAACAUGAUUUUUUUUUCUUCAGACCAGAGGACAUUUCUUCAAGAAGUACGAUCUUUGUCCCCAUGUGCAGUUGCAAACCGUAGUCUGGCUUUUUUAUGGUGGUUUUGGAGCAGUGGCUUCUUCCUUGCUGAGCGGCCUUUCAGGUUAUGUCGAUAUAGGACUCGUUUUACUGUGGGUAUAGAUACUUUGUACCUGUUUCCUCCAUCAUCUUCACAGGGUCCUUUGCUGUUAUUCUGGGAUUGAUUUGCACUUUUCACACAAAAGUACGUUCAUCUCUAGGAGACAGAACGCGUCUCCUUCCUGAGCAGGAUGACGGCUGCGUGCUCCCAUGGUGUUUAUACUUGUGUACUAUUGUUUUGUACAGAUGAACGUGGUACCUUCAAGUGUUUGGAAAUUUCUUCCAAAGAGGAUCCAGAUUUGCGGAGGUCUACAACUCUUUUUCUGAGGUCUUGGCUGAUUUUUCUUUUGAUUUUCCCAUGAUGUCAAGCAAAGAGGCACUGAGUUUGAAGGUAGGCCUUGAAAUAUAUCCACAGGUACACCUCCAAUUGACUCAGAAGCUUCUAAAGCCAUGACAUAAUUUUCUGGAAUUUUCCAAGCUGUUUAAAGGCGCAGUCAACUUAGUGUAUGUAAACUUCUAAUCUACUGGAAUUGUGAUGCAGUGAAUUAUAAAUGAAAUAAUCAGUCUGUUAACAAUUGUUGGAAAAAUUACUUGCGUCAUGCACAAAGUAGAUGAGGGUGAGAAAAGUCUUGCCAAAAAUAUAGUUUGUGAACAAGAAAUUUGUGGAGUGGUUGAAAAAUGAGUUUUAGUUUUUUUUUUUCAAUUGUUUAAGCACCAUUUUGAAAACAGGGCCCCGUUUGUCAAAACACUACACACAAUUAGCACAACCCUACCCCAAAGUAACACUUCAGAUCAUUUGCAAAAUGGAACACUUUUGUCAAAACUAUACACGACUUCAUAAAAAUAAUAUUUUGUUACCAUACCAAAGACACUUCAUAUGACUUCAGUCUUUUUGAACCAGUUACACUGCUGUUGCUAACCUAAAACAUUUUUAGCAAGUCUAAUUGUCAGUGAUUAGAGUACUGUAAAUGAAGUACACAGAGAAAGUGCAACUAUGCAAACACUACAGACUGAGGAAAAUAUCAUGUAUUUCUCUCCAUAUACCCAAAUCAGUCAACAUGGAGAAUCACAACAAAACAUCUCCCAGUUUUCAUGCUACUACAGUAGUGUGCAUAACACUGUUACCUCGGCAAACAACAGACAAAUGUAAAAUACUGUAUCCAGUACAGGUUACAAUUACAGUAAAUAACAACCAACAUAAAAAAUCAUCUAAAAACGGACAAUAUUGUACAGAAAAUACUAUAGUAAACAUACUAUACCUUAUCUCUUCGCCUAGCUGGAUAUGGCCAGAGAAUUUCAUCAACAUCACAAGCAAUGGUGUCAUUAGCAAGACAACGCGGGAAGAACUGUCUUGAAUGUCGAAUCCAUCCUUGCACAGCUGCGGCGUCGACUUGGUCACUGGCGUCCUCCAUGGCCUGAAUGAGGGGUACCUGAGCCUGGGAUCGUAAACCUUCCACCGCCAUGCAGAGAAACUCUUCGAUAGGGUUUAGAAACGGAGAGUAUGGUAGAAGGUAUAGUACUGUCAACUGGAUGGUGUUGAAACAAGUUCUGGACCAAAGCAGAGCGGUGGAAUGACACAUUGUCCCAGAUGACCGUGUAGUGCAUCUGGUGCAUUUCAUUACCUGCUGUGACGAUGUGGUGCAAUCGGUCUGAGAAUGUGAGGUGUGUUGUAAGGGACCGUUUUGGCAUGACGGAGGACAACUCCAUGCUGUGAAAUGGUAGCGCAAAGGGUGAUGUUGCCCUGGGACAUUGAUUAUAGCCCUGUGGCCAAUGAUUUUUCUGCCUCUCCUUGCUUUUGUGAGGUUGAACCCUGCCUCAUCAAUAUAUAUGAAUUCAUGCAGGAUUUCCUCUGCGUCCAUCUGCGAAACUCUCCGAAAUACAGUGAAAGACAAGAUUGUGUAGUUCAGGAUAGGUCUAGUUUUCAGUCAAUGUAAAAAAUGUCAUGUGUGCAGUAUGCAACAUCACAGUGCUAAAGUGAACAAUACAAACCUUCACAUACUCAUGCCGCAGCUGUUUGACCCUCUCUGAAUUCGCUCAAAAGGCACUCGAUAAAGUUGUUUCAUUUGAACCUGAUGUCUUUUCAGGAUGCGUGCCAGUGUUGACUGAGAGACCUGAUGGACAUUAUUGAAAAUGGCAUGGUCACCGAUAAUGUUGGCUUGUAGUUCUCUGAGCCUGAUGGCAUUAUUGGCCAAAACCAUGUUUAUUAUCUCUCUUGUUCUUGCAUGAAUAUGGGCCCCCUUCCUCGUCAUUCCCGACCCUCAAUCCUAUGUAGAGAAUAAUACAUGUAACUUACUGUACAAUGUCACAGGAAGGGGUAUCACAAGUGCUGAUAUGGUGCUGACAAUAAGCAGCUGAAUACUGUAGACAGAUCUUUUACCUGUUUUCCUGUCAAAGUCCUUAUGACAGAUGCCACUGUAUAUCUGCUAAGAUUUGGCUGAACUCUCAGUCCAGCCUCCCUCAGCGUCAAUCCGUGGUUUGCAACAUGGUCCACUAGUGUUGCACAAAUGUCAUUUGAUAAGUUUCGUCCUCUUCUUUGUGCACGUUCUCCUCCUGCUUCAGGUCUUCCUCGACCUCUGGCUCGGCCUCUGCCUCUUCCUCUACUUCCUUCUCCUCCUCUGUGUACUCCUCUCACCCUCACUCUUCUUCUGACUCCUUCCAUUUUGGUUGAAGACUGGUGAACCUACCUGCUGCAUUUUUAUAGUGCUUAAACCUGAUUGGUGUGUCUACAAUUCAGCAAUCAUGUGUUUGCACCUGAUGGCUGUGUUUAACAGAUUGGCUCAUAGGUGUGGUAAUUUGAUAGUCAGUGCUUUGGAAUUGCAAGGGAGUGACAUCAUGAUAUACUUCUGUGUCUGAUGUAUACAAGGGUGUUUAGUGUUUUGCAAAUCACUGUGUGUAAUGUUUUGCAAAUAGUGUGAAGCUGACAAUGUGCUUACAGUUAUGCAAAUCUAACCUUGUGUUUUGCUCCUUGAGUGUAAGGUUUUGCUAAUUGUGGGAAAAGUUCAAUUUAGUGUGUAAGCAAUCGUAAAAAACGAAUGACUCCAACCUAAGUGUAUGUAAACUUCUGACUUCAAACUGUACCAUGCUGCUUUGAGCUCAAGACUUUCUUUAGGCCACAGACUAUUCUCAUCUCUAGUUAGAUGUUUCAUAUCCCGGGGCUGUGUCGGUAAGACUAAAAAGCUUCCUAGCUAAGUAGUACUGUGCGCUCUUGAAUAAAAUAUCCCAGUUUACGGCCUAACUCCAUAUUGAGAGAAGGCAGAAUUAUUGUGUACCUUUCUUUUGGAAAGUUUUUUUGUGUUACUCUGAGAAGUUUUAGAAUUGUCACUGAGCAUCCACCUGACCCAAAUCUAUUCAGUAAUGGAUGGAAGAAGUGACUGUUUGCAGACACCCGGGGCAAUCCGUGCUUGUCUGUCAGCCCUAUCUAUCACUGUUCAAUCCUGCUCCAGCUCUGACCUCUAACCCCCUAACCUGAUAGAAUGGCCUGGUCCUCAUCCAUAUACACACAGGCAGCCUUAUAUAUACACUUGGCUUUGAUGAUGAGGGGUCAAGGGGAGGCCGGGAGUGGGCUAGGGGGUAUUAGGCAAAUGAGGGGGAAGGAGGUCACUGGGUUAAUCUGUAUCAGUGGGGGGAGGCGAUAGCCUCCAAGCUGACAUAACACUCCAUCUCUCUUGUUCUCACUCUCAUUAGAAGUUAUUGUUGACCCAAGUUACUGCAGUAACACACAGGUAGGUAUAAAGGUUAGAGAGUAGAGUGUGUUCUUUAUAUUAAUUUCUAGUGGUUGGAAUGAGGGGAGGCUUCCUGCAUCCUCCCAGCUGGUUGUUGAUUAGCAUUAUGUUUCAUUCAGGUUUAUUAGCGAGAAGUGCACUUAAGCUUAUACAGGAACUCUGAACUCCACUGAAUUGAGCCCAACCAUGCUUUACAGCACUGAUUUAAAUGAAAGCGAAAUCUCAGUUCGAGCAAUAUAAUUUAGGACGCAGUCUCCAAAGACUACAGCACUGAUACCAAUGUGUUAUCAAUCAUGUCCCUUCCCCACUGAAAGACAAUCAUGAUGAUUAUCACUGUUGCCUUUUUUACAUUUUUUUAUUUUUAGCAUCCAUUUGUCUCCUUUGGGUUUCAUGAAAGCCUACUCCAUUGAGCGGCUGGCAGCCCCCCUGUUACAAAGAACAACCGUGUCUCCAACACAACUUGAUCUGACUUAAAUCUAAUGUGAAUAUUUCGCUCUGAGAAUCCCUCCACUCACACUAACUGAUCUGUCAAAUCUGCAUUAUUAAAGGCACAUAUUAUGAAGUGUGUGUGUGUGUGUGUGUGUGUGUGAGUGAGAGAGACUAUGUAUUGCCUCACAGAACUCUGUUCUGAGAUUGAUUAUACAUGUUCUUAUUGUCGUUUGCAUUAUCUCACAAUAAAGAACGCUUGACUUGACUA
ensembl:lncRNA